rnacentral:rRNA from 1 species
CCAGCUCCAAUAGCGUAUAUUAAAGUUGUUGCAGUUAAAAAGCUCGUAGUUGAACUUCAGACCUGGCUGGGCGGUCUGCCUAACGGUAUGUACUGUCCGGCUGGGUCUUACCUCUUGGUGAGCCGGCAUGCCCUUCACUGGGUGUGUCGGGGAACCAGGACUUUUACCUUGAGAAAAUUAGAGUGUUCAAAGCAGGCUUAUGCCCGAAUACAUUAGCAUGGAAUAAUAAAAUAGGACGUGCGGUUCUAUUUUGUUGGUUUCUAGAGUCGCCGUAAUGAUUAAUAGGGAUAGUUGGGGGCAUUAGUAUUCCGUUGCUAGAGGUGAAAUUCU